rnacentral:tRNA from 1 species
UGCUCUAUGGCUUAGUUGGUUAAAGCGCCGAACUAGCAAUACGAAGUCGUGGGUUUGAUUCCCACCAAAACAA